rnacentral:tmRNA from 1 species
GGGGGUGAUAUGGUUUCGACGUGGGUGAUGGAGCCCAAGGUGCAUGCUGAGGUACAGUCAACCUCGUAAAACAGGCUGUACAACAAUAGUUGCCAACGACGACAACUACGCUCUGGCUGCUUGACGGCCAGUCUCUAACUGAGUUGUGCUUGUGCGCUCAGCGUUCUGUGUAAUGCAGGACAUCAAGGGGUAACUUUACACAAGAUCGCUAUGAAGCCUUGCCCAAGGUGGAUUAGUUAAAACUUUUGGGCUCGCUGUGCUCUUUCCCUGUCUUGUCGGGUAGUAGCACGGUUAAAAAUUAAAGACAGACUAAGCAUGUAGGACCGAAGGUAAAGUGCUUGCGGACGCGGGUUCGAUUCCCGCCACCUCCACCA